UACGAAGGGGGCUAGCGUUGUUCGGAUUUACUGGGCGUAAAGCGCACGUAGGCGGAUCGUUAAGUCGGGGGUGAAAUCCUGGAGCUCAACUCCAGAACUGCCUUCGAUACUGGCGAUCUAGAGUCCGGAAGAGGUGAGUGGAACUCCUAGUGUAGAGGUGGAAUUCGUAGAUAUUAGGAAGAACACCAGCGGCGAAGGCGGCUCACUGGUCCGGUACUGACGCUGAGGUGCGAAAGCGUGGGGAGCAAACAGG
rnacentral:rRNA from 1 species